AGGACGAACGCUGGCGGCGUGCUUAACACAUGCAAAUCGAGCGGAAAGGCCCUUCGGGGUACUCGAGCGGCGAACGGGUGAGUAACACGUGAGUAAUCUGCCCCUAGCUCUGGGAUAGCUCCGGGAAACCGGGAUUAAUACCAGAUACGACCACUUUAGACAUCUGUUGUGGUGGAAAGAAUUUUGGCUAGGGAUGAGCUCGCGGCCUAUCAGCUUGUUGGUGAGGUAACGGCUCACCAAGGCGACGACGGGUAGCCGGCCUGAGAGGGCGACCGGCCACACUGGGACUGAGACACGGCCCAGACUCCUACGGGAGGCAGCAGUGGGGAAUAUUGCGCAAUGGGCGAAAGCCUGACGCAGCGACGCCGCGUGGGGGAUGAAGGCCUUCGGGUUGUAAACCCCUUUCAGCAGGGACGAAGCGAAAGUGACGGUACCUGCAGAAGAAGCGCCGGCUAACUACGCGCCAGCAGCCGC
rnacentral:rRNA from 1 species